AGAGUUUGAUUAUGGCUCAGGAUGAACGCUAGCUACAGGCUUAACACAUGCAAGUCGAGGGGCAGCAUGACGAUAGCUUGCUAUGUGAUAGCGACCGGCGCACGGGUGAGUAACGCGUAUCCAACCUUCCCUAUAGUAGACGGAUAGCCCGGCGAAAGUCGGAUUAAUACUCUAUGUUUUCCAAGUGAGGACAUCUAAAAUGGAACAAAGGUUUACCGCUAUAGGAUGGGGAUGCGUCUGAUUAGGUUGUUGGCGGGGUAACGGCCCACCAAGCCUACGAUCAGUAGGGGUUCUGAGAGGAAGGUCCCCCACAUUGGAACUGAGACACGGUCCAAACUCCUACGGGAGGCAGCAGUGAGGAAUAUUGGUCAAUGGGCGAGAGCCUGAACCAGCCAAGUAGCGUGCAGGAUGACGGCCCUAUGGGUUGUAAACUGCUUUUAUAUAGGGAUAAAGUGACCCACGUGUGGGUUUUUGUAGGUACUAUAUGAAUAAGGACCGGCUAAUUCCGUGCCAGCAGCUGC
rnacentral:rRNA from 1 species